rnacentral:miRNA from 1 species
UUUUGAAACGGAGGGAGUAUU